UAUAAUCCUCCUAGCUUUUCCAAGCAAUGAAGCCAUCUGCCGCACGCCAAAUAAAACCAUUCCCAGUACGAAAUUGAAAGGCAACUUGGUGACGUAUGCCGUUUGGUAUCCAGUGCCCAUCCACCUGGGGGUAUGUCAGAAGUCCCAAUAUCCAGACACGAUCAAACGAAGGUCGAACAGGCACAGGCUUUCGGUAAUUAUUGGAACUGACGACAAGAACUAUGUGGUGGAAUAUAUCUGCCUCGAUACCGGAAAGUACCCCAGAAUUGAGACUGUGGUGUAUACAAAAAAGCAGAGUCUUAGGCAUUCCGUCAUCAAGGAAAUUGUGAAAAUUCACUCUACAGUCGGCUUGGACUAUUCCAAAAUGUGGUAUUGUCAGGUAGAGUAAAUAAAAUCGUAAAUCUCCACUGGACAAAACAUUCCACAUUUCAA